rnacentral:rRNA from 1 species
CUUGUACCGACUGGAUGAGCAGCGAACGGGUGAGUAACGCGUGGGGAAUCUGCCUUUGAGCGGGGGACAACAUUUGGAAACGAAUGCUAAUACCGCAUAAAAACUUUAAACACAAGUUUUAAGUUUGAAAGAUGCAAUUGCAUCACUCAAAGAUGAUCCCGCGUUGUAUUAGCUAGUUGGUGAGGUAAAGGCUCACCAAGGCGAUGAUACAUAGCCGACCUGAGAGGGUGAUCGGCCACAUUGGGACUGAGACACGGCCCAAACUCCUACGGGAGGCAGCAGUAGGGAAUCUUCGGCAAUGGACGAAAGUCUGACCGAGCAACGCCGCGUGAGUGAAGAAGGUUUUCGGAUCGUAAAACUCUGUUGGUAGAGAAGAACGUUGGUGAGAGUGGAAAGCUCAUCAAGUGACGGUAACUACCCAGAAAGGGACGGCUAACUACGUGCCAGCAGCCGCGGUAAUACGUAGGUCCCGAGCGUUGUCCGGAUUUAUUGGGCGUAAAGCGAGCGCAGGUGGUUUAUUAAGUCUGGUGUAAAAGGCAGUGGCUCAACCAUUGUAUGCAUUGGAAACUGGUAGACUUGAGUGCAGGAGAGGAGAGUGGAAUUCCAUGGGUUAACGC